UAUUCUUUAUUAUUAUUAUUAUUUUCACUAGUAGUAAUAAUAGUAAAUAAUAAUAUUAAUAAUAUAAAUAUGCGAUAUCUUAAAUAGUUAUAAUGCUAUGCUUAUUUAAUUCAACUUGUAUAUAUUUGAAUUGAAUAGUAUCUAAAGUGAGUAUUAUGGUAAGUGGUAAGUAAAUGUAUGGAAAUAUGUGAUACCUGCUAAAUGCUACAUGUUAAAUGUUAGAGUGUUAUUCUUGAUAGUAUAAUGUAUUAAUAUUGAAUUACUUUCCGUUUUAAAGAUAAGCUGUUAGUUUCUUUCAAUCAUUAUGUGUUUAGGUGCCGCAUGUCUGGGCGGAUUAUUUAUCAUUAUGUGUUAGGUGCCGCAUGUCGGGGCGGGUACUUUUCUUAUGUGAUUUACUGCAUGUCGAGGCAGAUUUUCUUUAUAUUAGUAUUUUUUUUUAGUUUAAAGAGCUUGAUUUGAUUGAUUUGAAAACAGGAAAAUAGUCCUAUUUACGAAUAGGUCAUGCCGAAUUUUCCGUAGAAAUAUUAAGUUACGCGUUCUCGUGUUUAAUAAUAUUCUGAGUUGGUUGUAAGUUAUAAAACUAUAAUGUGUGCUACUUGUUAUGUGCUAUAUAAUGUGCCGUGUAUAUAUAUAUCGCGAAAGGGUAGAAAUAGGAUAGUCGUUUCGGAAGGAUACUAAAGUAGUAUCUUUUUGCUUAUAAUAGGAUCGAGCAUUGAGGGCGUGAUACCAAGCAAAGGCAAGAAAAGGGGAGAGUUGUAUAGCGGUUCAGUAGUUACGAAUUGUUCGAGACGAAUAGAACCAGACGUUGGGGAUCAAGACUGAAGUUAGAUAAGAUUUCGUAUCAGGCUGCAGCAACCGCAUGAGCGCCAUAGCAGAGAAUCAGGAAUAGUUGAGGGUGAUGUCUUGAGAAAGCAGAAUAAGAUAAGGAUGUUAGCUAAGAGUGUAUAAGCUAAGGACCAAAGCUAAGGCUAGAGAUGGAUUAUCUGAUUAGACUGCGCGUGUGAGUGAUGCUAAGAGGCAAGGAUUCUAAGUGGUUAAGUACAUCAGAGAUCAGGUUGGUUGUUUUCUGAUUUCAAUACUGUAACCUGGAUGCGAUCCUGUUUUUAGGGGGUUAAAGUGUUUCCUUUUAAACCUUUUAUUAAUGCUUUCAGGUUUUAAAUUAUUUGGUUUUCAUAAAUACAGUUUUUCAAAAGUGUUUUAAAAGGUUCAAAAUUGUCUUUC